rnacentral:rRNA from 1 species
AAGCCAAUCCCACAAAUCUGUUCUCAGUUCGGAUCGCAGUCUGCAACUCGACUGCGUGAAGCUGGAAUCGCUAGUAAUCGCGGAUCAGCAUGCCGCGGUGAAUACGUUCCCGGGCCUUGUACACACCGCCCGUCACACCACGAGAGUUUGUAACACCCGAAGUCGGUGAGGUAACCUUUUAGGAGCCAGCCGCCGAAGGUGGGACAGAUGAUUGGGGUGAAGUCGUAACAAGGUAGCCGUAUCGGAAGGUGCGGUUGGAUCACCUCCAAA